UCUCUCUCUUCUACCUCUCUUCUCUUCCUCGCAGCAGAUGAAACCCUAGUGAAAUCUCUUGAAUCUGUUCAAUGAUUGAACCCUAGUGAGUUUUUUUCAAUCUUCAAUCAUCGAACCCUAAUUAAUGAAUCGAUGAAACCAUAAUAAGGGAUUUUUAAUUUGUUUUUUCGAUUUUUAGGGUUUCUUUUGGUUUUCAAUUUUCAGAUGAGAGUGGUGUAGCUUUCAUUUUCUCUGCAAAAUCUCGUCAGGAGAAAGCUAGGGUUUCAAAAAUCAAAUCAAUCCUAGCUUAGAUUAGCUCAAGAUUUAGAAUCGUCCAUACAUGUUAUGUAAUGAGUUUGAUUUAGGGUUCAUCCUUGAAUCGGUGAAGAAAACAAUUAUGGGUUUUUUCUUUGGGUGUUUUCGUGUUAAAUAUGAGAACCAAAAUCAUCAUAUUAUCUCUGAUUCUUCCAACAAAAAAAAUCCUUUGGUAUCUAGGAUUAGUCUAGCAGCGUUACUCUUAUCUGAAUCUCAAGGUGGGAUGAUGGCAACACAAUCUUUACGAUUACUACGACACAAUAAGGAAAGCCUACAUUUACCACUAUAACUAACGAACUUUUAUGACUGGCUUUCAUUGGUGGGGGACCAUGUGACAUUUUCCUUCGGACAAGAGCAAAGUUACAUAUAUGAUGCACCUUGAUAAGGAAAAAGAAGAGAGGAGAGUCACUGUUAGAGAAAAAGGGAAAGGAAGAGUUGGUUAUGAUUUGGAUUCAUUGAGUGCCAGGUGAUCCUUCUAUAGUUGGAAAAGAAUCGGGCGAAGGCGAAUUCUAUAUGUGGGUCGAGUGAGGUGUCCUAGUAACUUUCAAGCUGAGAGCACUUUUUUUUGGGAGUUGUUUUCUUUCAAUACUUUUCAGGAUGUGGUGCUUACAUCGCCUGCAAGCAAGAGAUGAUGCAAUGCUAGCAUCAAAGACAUGUAUAUACUAUAUUUUGUCAUCCGAGAAGACACCUUCUUCAACUGCGUGGCAUGCUGUUUCAACAUGGACCAUGUUUACUGUCUACUACAAACCAAGGAAGUAAUUAGGCGUGGAAGUGUUCGCGCGAAGUUGUAGCUGGGAUUAGGAUGAUGGUUCCUUGGUGUCGAUAUUUUCACUUAUGGGGAGUAAUGCUCAAGAUGGACAUUUAGCUGCUGGCCAAAAUGGUGUCAAACGACUACGAACGAUAAUACAUAUACACAUGUGCUUGGGGAAAAUUUAUUGUCGCCAUUUGUUGGAUUCUUCUCUACUAAUGCGAGCUUAUUUGUGGGCUUAUUUGCAGGUCAGGCAUCCAAAUAUCUUAUCAUUUCAUCACAGCACAGAGGCCGAAAUUUUUGAUGGUGCUACUCCAAAGCACACUACCUACAUUGUUACAGAUCCUGUCAUGGCACUCCCUGAGAAGAUUAAGGAACUAGGCCUUGAAGGUACUCAGAGAAUUAGAAUCUGAACUUAAAGAGUUGGAAGGAGCUGAGUUGGAGGAACAACUUCUACAACCUGUAGUCCAAACUCAGGAGAUGCAUGGAAGGCAUUGCUUGAUGCAGCUGGAGUGAUCAAAGAUUAACCAACUGAUGAAAACUUAAGGGAUUGAAUGGUUGGCUCCGUUGGUGUUUCUGCAGCAAAUUGAGUUGGUGGAAGGACAAAAGGGCUUAUACGAUUAUACCCCUGAAAUCACACUCAAGCAAGAGGUUCUACCAUUAAAUGGAAGCCAUUAUGUCCCUUAGCAGCUGCAAGUUUUGAGUAAAUUUCUAUGUAGUUUCUGCUUAUAGUGAUUUAAGUGAGAAUGAACUGAACUUAGGAACUUAGUAGGUUUCUAUGACUUCCUCAUAAUUUGAUACUUAAACAGAUUUGUUUUGGUACUUGAAAAGAAUUUGUAUUCUUUUUUGCAUUGAUUGAUUGAA